rnacentral:misc_RNA from 1 species
GAUGAAGAACGCAGCGAAAUGCGAUAAGUAAUGUGAAUUGCAGAAUUCAGUGAAUCAUCGAAUCUUUGAACGCACAUUGCGCCCAUUAGCAUUCUAGUGGGCAUGCCUGUUCGAGCGUCAUUUCAACCCUUAAGCCCUGUUGCUUAGCGUUGGGAGCCUACAGUACUGUAGCUCCCCAAAGUUAGUGGCGGAGUCGGUUUCACACUCUAGACGUAGUAAUUUUUUCUCGUCUGUAGUUGAGCCGGUCCCCUGCCGUAAAACACCCAAUUUAUCAAGGUUGACCUCGGAUCAGGUAUGAAUACCCGCUGAACUUAAGCAUAUCAAUAAGCGGAGGA